ACACCGGCGGCCCGAGUGGUGAUCGUGAUUAUUGGGUCUAAAGGGUCCGUAGCCGGUUUGGUCAGUCCUCCGGGAAAUCUGAUAGCUCAACUAUUAGGCUAUCGGGGGAUACUACCAGACUUGGAACCGGGAGAGGUAAGAGGUACUACAGGGGUAGGAGUGAAAUCUUGUAAUCCCUGUGGGACCACCUGCGGCGAAGGCGUCUUACCAGAACGGGUUCGACGGUGAGGGACGAAAGCUGGGGGCAC
rnacentral:rRNA from 1 species